UUGUGUUUGGUUAGGUAUCACGAUCACUAGUGAUUGCAAAUCCUUUCAACGAAAUGACGAAUUGUAUUGGCUCUGUACAUAAGAACCAUAACCGGGUUUUAGCAAAAACAAAAGGAUCAAAUGCUCUAGUGACCCACAUGGUUUUGAAAAAUUCUCUCGUGACCCAACCAUAAUUCCUAUUAAUAUUACAUUAAAAUUUAAAUACAAAAGAGGUACAAAUAACAAAAAAACCAAAAGACAUCAACUUAUUUACGACCCGCGCCAUUACUAUCCUACCCGACUCUUAACCCGACCCAACCCCGACUGAAAACCUAACCAAAUAGACAAAGCCUCCAUCUACGAAAGACAACUCCCCUAUUUUCUCCACACCUUCACGAUCAGAACUCUGUCUCUAUUUCAAUCGGACUUCUCGAUUUAUCUCUCUGUCACGAAGAUGCCACCUACAAUCAGAAGAACUAAUAACAAGAAGGAAUCUCCACCGCCGAAGAAGAACAUCGAACCAGCAAAGAAGAAGUGAGAUAGGCCAUCUCUGGUAGAAGAACACGGAGGAGACGAUGGUGGUUUGACAUCUCAACCCAGUAAGCGGCUGUGGCGGAACCAUAACCCUAAAAGUCUGCGACGCAAUCCGGGUGCUUCUCCUAAUCCGGCGGACCCUUCUCCGGCGGACCCUACUCCGGCUGCUUCUCCUACUCAGUCCGACAGUGAGUCAACACAGUCAGAAGAGGCGGCGGGGUCACAAGUACCUCCAAUGGCGAACACACAAGACCCUCCGGUUACACCUCUUUCCAGGUCUUCCACUAGGAGGGGGACACCUUCUUCGGAACGAAGAAACUAGGUCGAAUCACGGGGACGCUCGCACAUCUCAAGAACAUAAUGCUACACAUAUGGCUGGAGGAGCAAUCAAACCACACAUGUUUUACUUCCAACUGGUCGAGUACGGGAAGCCCUAUAAGCUCUCCUCAAGGUGUCAUCAACAUCAUUUCAUUAAGUUGAUUAAAGAUUCUGAUGCAUCUGAAAAGAAGUGGUUUCACGAGCUCCCAUAGUUCAACACAAUGUUCUAAAAAUCGUUAGGCGGUAACUAGGCGCUUUAUAGAGAACUAGCGACUAGGCGGAUUAUUCGGGGCUUAGGCGUUAACAAAUUAUUGAUUUGUUUUAUAUAUUUUAUACAUUUAUGUGACAUAUUUUAAUUUUUAAGUUUAAUUAUAAAAUAUACAAACAUAAGAAAGUAGACAAAUUUAUAGAUUUGUAAUAAUAUUAUUGUUUAAUUUAACAUAUAUAGACAAUUUAUAUCGAUUUUAACCGAUUUAAAACAGUUUAAACCAAUUUAAUCAUAUAAAUCAAAAAUUGGAUUUGAAAAAAAUCGUUUCGGAUAGGACCGAGUUGCCGCCUAGGCGGGGGCCUAGGCGCCGCCUAGAGCGAUUUUUAAAACCUUGGUUCAACAUCUGAAAAGAAGGCGAGAAUGAGCUCGAGAAUGAUGGCGAGAAUGAUCCUGAGCAGAUGGAAAAGGUUGACACUAAUAAAAAGGCCACAAAGGAGGGUAAGAACGAGCUUGAAGUUAUGGCAGCAAAUGCCGAGAAGGUUAAGAAGGAAGCUACAGAGGAAGUGAAUAAAGAUGUUGAAGAUUCACCGGAGGAUGGAGAGGCCUUGACAAGGCCGAAGAGGUUGGCAAAGCCUAACUAGUAUAACCAGGUUAGGUAUGGCCAAAUUACUCUGCCUAGUACAACUGGUACAACUUGACAAAGGAAGGUACAACCAUCACGUUUAGAAUGUGCAGUACAUUUAAAACAUGAUAAACAAACUAAAACAUGAUAAACGAAAUAACAUGUAGUUGUACGAGUAUUCUAGUUGUACAAUCGUAUAUAGAGUUGUACCAGAUUUUGGGUUGUACAACUUUGUACAUAGUUGUAUUUUGGUUGAAAAUUUGAAAAUUUUAGUUGUGCCACAUAUUAAAUAUAUAUACUUCAGUUGUACAGCUCUCAUUUACUUAAAUACAUAUGCGCACAUGCAAUUGAAUCAUUAAUUUUCUUAAAAUAUAUUUGGUGUAUGUUUUUAAAAAAAUAUAGUGAACAAACUAGUAAACAAACCCUUAAAGUAUAAGCUAGAUCUUGGAAACUUAUACCAUUGUGUAAUAAUUGCAAAAACAAUUCGGUAAAAUUUCAAAUAAAUAGGAUGGACCAUUCCAAAGACCUCCCAACUUGUCUAGUCUAUUGUUAUUUUCCUAUGAAAAGCCAUAUAAAACUAAUAAAACUGAAACAUGCAGUAGUAUUACAACAAUAAUAGUACAACUGGUUCGACUACAUUAGUAGUAUUAUUAAUAUUUUACUGUGGCAAUGAUUUUAUAUAUUAUUUUCUAUAGGCAUUACACACAAUUGGAAAAUAUUUUAAUGUUAUCAAAAGAAAUAUAUUUACUUGAAGAAAAUGAAAGCCUAAAAGACACAAAAUUAAAAGAAAAGUAGAUUAAUACGAUCAGUAUAAAUAGUACAACUAGUAUAACUACGAUAACAAAUGUAUGAUUGGUUUAACCGGUAUAACUACGUUCUUUUAAUAUAUAUACGUAGUUGUACCAAAUUUUGGGUUGAACAAAUUUGUAUAUAAUUGUAUUUUGGCAGUGAAAUUGAAAAAGUUAGUUGUACCACAUAAAAAGUAAAUAUACCCUAGUUGUACUACUACUAUAUGUUUACCUAUCUGAUAUCACAUAUAAUCGAAUCGUUAAUUUUGUUAAAAUACAUUCGUUGUAUGUUUUUCAGAAAAUAUAGUGGACAAACAAGUAAACAAACCUUUAACGUAUAAGGUGAAAAAUGGAAACUUAUGAAAUAAUGUAAUAAUUGUCAAAAAAUAUUAAAAAAUUAAAAUAGUUAGGAUAUACCAUUAUAAACACACCAAUUUGGUCAGUUUAUUGUUGUUUUUUCAUAUGGAAAAUCAAAUAAAAAUUUAAAAUUUCUAUAAUGAAAAAGUUAAACCAGUAUUACUAGUAUUACAUGUCUUGUAUAUACUAUGAAGUUGUACUAAUUAAACCAGUAUAUGUUUAGUUAUAUGAAUUGUACCAGUUUACCAUCUUCUAUAACCCACUCCUUAGUAAUUUCAUGAUUUUUUUAUUAUGCAGUUAGUUUUAGCUUAUUUUAAUCAUUUUAAAUUGUAUUUAGGUGUAUAUAUAUUGUAUUUAUUUGUCCAUUUGUAGCUAACAUGGUUUAAAGUGCAUAAUUGAAAAGUUCAAUCUGAAAACAGAAAAAAAUCUUGUCAAUUAGAAAGUUUGGGACUAAAAUGAAGAGAAAUAAAACAUUUGAGGACCAAAACACAAAUAAUGAAAAGUUGGUUUCCCCCACCAGAUUCGAUUGAAUCGCUCAUCCAUGGUUGAUUGAGAUCUGCUCAAUCCAUCGCCAUCUAUGAUUGACUGAAUUCAAAGCUUGGCGGAGUCGGCGGUGAGGGUCUAAGGUCACGGCGAUGAUGGCGACUUAGUGGAGUUGGUGGAACUUGCUUACGUGUUAUAGAACACAACGUUGGUGGAGGUUGGAGCAAUAGACCAUCAUGCAAUUGAAGUUUGAAAAGAAGAAGAUGGUCGCGACUCACAGAGAACACUGGAGACACUGCAUGCUGCCGUCAAAGUCGAUGACCGGAGACGUCGCGUGCUGCCGGAGAAGAUAUGAACAGAAGUCGGCGAAGUUGAAAGGAACCAAUUUCUUUUUUUUCUUUUAAUUUUGUUUUAAUUAAUUGUUGGAAAGAUAAAAAAAAUAAAACAAAAAGAAUAAAUUCAUUAAGGGUAAAUUAGAUAUUUCA